UACGUAGGGGGCAAGCGUUGUCCGGAAUCAUUGGGCGUAAAGCGCGUGUAGGCGGUUCGGUAAGUCUGCUGUGAAAGUCCAGGGCUCAACCCUGGGAUGCCGGUGGAUACUGUCGGGCUAGAGUACGGAAGAGGCGAGUGGAAUUCCUGGUGUAGCGGUGGAAUGCGCAGAUAUCAGGAGGAACACCAAUAGCGAAGGCAGCUCGCUGGGACGUUACUGACACUGAGGCGCGAAAGCGUGGGGAGCGAACAGG
rnacentral:rRNA from 1 species